rnacentral:rRNA from 1 species
UACGAAGGGGGCUAGCGUUGCUCGGAAUCACUGGGCGUAAAGGGUGCGUAGGCGGGUCUUUAAGUCAGGGGUGAAAUCCUGGAGCUCAACUCCAGAACUGCCUUUGAUACUGAGGAUCUUGAGUUCGGGAGAGGUGAGUGGAACUGCGAGUGUAGAGGUGAAAUUCGUAGAUAUUCGCAAGAACACCAGUGGCGAAGGCGGCUCACUGGCCCGAUACUGACGCUGAGGCACGAAAGCGUGGGAGAGCAAACAGG